rnacentral:lncRNA from 1 species
UACAUUUACGAUUAAUUUUUUUAUUAUAAUAAUAAAUGUUAAUUUAUGAUACAAAGGUCAAUUUAAUGUCAGAGGUGAGAAAUUGGACUUGAGACUUGACUUGGACUCCAUAGUUGAAUAUCAAAUAUAUAUUUUUACAUUAAUUAAAUUUUUGAAAAAAUAACGCUGAAUAAACAUUUUAAUCUUUGAGCUAGAAUAAACAAAUUAUUGAGUUAACAAAACUCCAUAUUAUAAAAAUCUUCUCUAUUUAAGAUAAGUCUGUCAUCCAGUCUUCGAAUGAGCAUAUUCUAAAAAGUAAAAUAUAUUGGAUAACAUCCUAACUCCUAAUUAUGUCUCGGAAUAAUAACUAUACAGUACCUCUAACAAACAAAAAAAGCUGCAGUGCACCAAUACAUUUGUCAGAUAUUGACCAAUUGGGUCAUAGUUUUUCAACUUGGCUUAAAGCUCCAUUCUACAGUAUCCAAGGCUUACCAGAAAGGAAUUUAUCUAAAUCAUCGGUGGAAUGGGUACAAUUUCGCCGAGGAACAUACUUAAAAAUACCCUUCUACCAUUUUUCAACUCAGAAGUCCUGUUGAAUCCGAAAAAUCGUGCUUUCCAAGACGCCGAGGACCUCCUUCAAUCAAAGGAAGAGCUUUAGUCCCAUUUCAAGACACUGAACGACCUCAAUGCGUCAAAAUCGUUUGUCUACUACAUGAUCAAGCGGUAAAAGGAGACCGAGAGUGUCGAUGACAGGCUCUAUUUCCAUUGGCUCUCACCCCCAUGGAAAUGUAUCUUUUUUUAAUUUGUGCUUUUGGUCUUGUCUUUCUGGAACCAACAAUGUCUUCCAAGAUUAAGCAUAUUUGCUGAUUGUUGCAGAUACAUUUCAAGAGCCUCGAUUUAGUCUUCCUUUUUCAUGAUGCCAUCAAUUUUUCGAAGUUCUCCAGUUACAUUAGCAGCAAAAUAGCCAAAAACAUGAUGCCUCCACCACCGAGUUUCACUGUUAGAAUAGCGUUUUUGGGGUUGAAGGUUUUGCCCUUCUUUCGCCAAAUGUGCCGAUGCUAGUUGUGGUUAAAGAACUCCUCAUCUGUCUCAUCUGCCCACAGCACAGUGCGGCAGGAGUUGAGUUUAUCAUCUUUGUGGUCAUUGGCUUACUUCAGCCUGGCCUUUAUGUGCCUACUCUUGAGGCGUUGAGUCUUUCUUGGGACUCAAUACCGGAACCCAUUCUUUUGCAAAAUCCUCUGGACAGUUGAUCGUCCAACCAAAGACCCUGGUGGAUGGAUUUGAGAGUUAUUGUUGUAUUCUUGGCAAUCUCUGGUACUGCAGAUCUCACAUGUGUUGAGCUCAGCUCAGACUUCUUACAAUGUCGAGGAAGAUUUUUGAGAUGGCCAGUACUUUUGUUGGUGAUGAUGCUUUGGAUAGAGGAUUUUGGGAUGGAAAACUUGAUGGAAAUGUCUUUGUAGCUGUCACUUUGAAUAUGGCAAUUGACUACAAGCUGGUGAAUGUCCUCUCUGUACUCCUUGAUCUUGGUCAUCUUGAGUGUUGAUUUAGCCUGAAGUAAGAAAUUGGCUCAUCACACAUUUAACCUCAGAAGAUAGUUCAAGGAAUUUCUGGAUCUCUCAAGUAGAAGUCUCUUAAUCUUUCCAUACUUCACCAUGAUAAAAAAAACUAGAAAAAGUGUUUGUUAUUUUCACCUUUUUGGAGGUGUAUAAAUACUUUUGAAAGAACCAAAAAUUAUUUUCGAAGUAUAAUGAAAUAUUUUAUAAAAGAAAUGCAUAUUUUUAGUCAAUAAAUAGUAAUUAUUAUCAAAAA